AUUCAACUUCCCGUGGAGAGGGGAGGGACUGCUCUCUUAAGGUGAGGCGGAAACAAAGGAUUAAAAACAAAGCAGGAGGACAAAAACAUGACUGCCUAAAGAUGACAAGUUUAGCUGAGGACAGAGCAGAGUUUCCAGGAAUCAGCAGUAUGGCCAUGAACAGUGACAAUUCUCGAGAUUUUCCUCCAGUCUUCAGUCAUGAACUUGGAUCCUCAGGCACAAAACAUCAGCAGCACAAACACAGAGCAGAGUUUCCAGGAUCCAGCUCCAUGUCCAUGAACAGUGCCAAGUCUCGAGAUUAUCCUCCAGUCUUCAGUCAUGAACCUGCACCCUCAUU